GAUGAACGCUGGCGGCGUGCCUAAUACAUGCAAGUCGAACGAGUUCUGAUUAUUGAAAGGUGCUUGCAUCUUGAUUUAAUUUUGAACGAGUGGCGGACGGGUGAGUAACACGUGGGUAACCUGCCCUUAAGUGGGGGAUAACAUUUGGAAACAGAUGCUAAUACCGCAUAAAUCCAAGAACCGCAUGGUUCUUGGCUGAAAGAUGGCGUAAGCUAUCGCUUUUGGAUGGACCCGCGGCGUAUUAGCUAGUUGGUGAGGUAACGGCUCACCAAGGCAAUGAUACGUAGCCGAACUGAGAGGUUGAUCGGCCACAUUGGGACUGAGACACGGCCCAAACUCCUACGGGAGGCAGCAGUAGGGAAUCUUCCACAAUGGACGCAAGUCUGAUGGAGCAACGCCGCGUGAGUGAAGAAGGCUUUCGGGUCGUAAAACUCUGUUGUUGGAGAAGAAUGGUCGGCAGAGUAACUGUUGUCGGC
rnacentral:rRNA from 2 species